rnacentral:snoRNA from 1 species
UGGAUGAUGAUUUGAAACUUGCCUGUUUGGCUGAUGCGUUGAUGCUUGCUUGUGUAUUGCUGAC